CUUUGAACUCUGCAAGGAAAACCAUUAUUUCUGGAAUGAAACCACAUGAUGUCGCUUGAUGGAGAUGGGGAAAUCAGGCCCUAGAUUUUACCUUAUAACCAGUGCAUCAAACAUUUGCUUCGACUAUGGCAGUUGUUAAUGUUGUAAAGCAGCUUAUAAGAUUUUUACAUGUUGAUUUUGUAUCCUGCAACUUUACUGAAUUC
rnacentral:lncRNA from 1 species